rnacentral:rRNA from 1 species
CCUACGGGAGGCAGCAGUGGGGAAUAUUGGACAAUGGGCGAAAGCCUGAUCCAGCAAUGCCGCGUGAGUGAAGAAGGCCUUCGGGUUGUAAAGCUCUUUUACCCGGGAAGAUAAUGACUGUACCGGGAGAAUAAGCCCCGGCUAACUCCGUGCCAGCAGCCGCGGUAAUACGGAGGGGGCUAGCGUUGUUCGGAAUUACUGGGCGUAAAGCGUCCGUAGGCGGCGAUUCAAGUCAGAGGUGAAAGCCCACGGCUCAACCGUGGAACUGCCUUUGAAACUAGGUCGCUUGAAGAUGGGAGAGGUUAGUGGAAUUCCGAGUGUAGAGGUGAAAUUCGUAGAUAUUCGGAAGAACACCAGUGGCGAAGGCGGCUAACUGGACCAUUCUUGACGCUGAGGGACGAAAGCGUGGGGAGCAAACAGGAUUAGAUACCCUGGUAGUCCACGCUGUAAACGAUGAGAACUAGCUGUCGGGGCUCUUAGAGCUUCGGUGGCGCAGCUAACGCAUUAAGUUCUCCGCCUGGGGAGUACGGCCGCAGGUUAAAACUCAAAGGAAUUGACGG